UCACCCCCGCCCUUCCCCCAGGAGCUGAAGACCCUGCUGAGCGGUGGCGCUGGAAUCUCGGCCUGCGUUUUCCUGGCUGAUGGGACCGUCUGCCUGGGCACCUCCGCUGGGGGACUGGAGACCUGGGGCCUGCAUGAGGGCAGCAGGCUCCUGGCUACUGAUGCUCACCAGGGCUAGGUCACAGGCUGCUGCGUCAGCCCUGAUCGCAGACAGCUGGCCAGCGUCUCCCUGGAUGGGCACCUGAAGCUGUGGGAUUCUGCCCAGGGGCACCUGACCUGGGAGCUGGAUCUCUCCUGCCCCUUGAACUGUGCUGCCUUCCACCCCGACGGGCAGCUGGUGGCCACCGGGGGCUGGGACGGCACUGUGACCACCCUGGGCCUGCAGAACCGGAGUGUGAGCUCGGUUCUCUCAGGCCAUGACACUUCCGUCCGCGCCGUGUCCUUCUCCCCUGCGGGCACCAUGCUGGCGUCCGGCUCCCUGUCCGGGACAGUGCAUCUUUAGUCCUGGUGGGAGGUCGUGAGCCUGGCCACGUUCCCAGCACACCAGGGCUUCGUCUCCGAAGUCA